UAGGUGAUUCCUGCCAUUUGGUAUUCCUC
rnacentral:piRNA from 1 species